AAUUGAAUAAAGUGGACGGGUGCUCCCUGCCGGAAAGGGCAGGGAUAGAGGGAAGUCAGUGAAAAUCUGACGCGGUGCCGCCACUGUGAAUGGGGAGUCCGCCACACAAAGCCACUGGUCCAGCACUCAGUUAAUUUGAUUCUGCUGUGGUUGAGGUUAGCUGAUGAUAAUAAAGAUAAAGUAGGGGAGAACGGAAAUAAGCAGGGCUGAGUGCGGGGCUGGGAAGGCGUGGUGGGGCAGUGAUCCAUGAGCCAGGAAACCUGCCCGUUCCAAUUCACCGCU
rnacentral:ncRNA from 2 species